rnacentral:rRNA from 1 species
GGCUUAACACAUGCAAGUCGAGGGGCAUCAGGAAGAAAGCUUGCUUUCUUUGCUGGCGACCGGCGCACGGGUGAGUAACACGUAUCCAACCUGCCCUUUACUCGGGGAUAGCCUUUCGAAAGAAAGAUUAAUACCCGAUAGCAUAAUGAUUCCGCAUGGUUUCAUUAUUAAAGGAUUCCGGUAAAGGAUGGGGAUGCGUUCCAUUAGGUUGUUGGUGAGGUAACGGCCCACCAAGCCUUCGAUGGAUAGGGGUUCUGAGAGGAAGGUCCCCCACAUUGGAACUGAGACACGGUCCAAACUCCUACGGGAGGCAGCAGUGAGGAAUAUUGGUCAAUGGGCGCUAGCCUGAACCAGCCAAGUAGCGUGAAGGAUGAAGGCUCUAUGGGUCGUAAACUUCUUUUAUAUAAGAAUAAAGUGCAGUAUGUAUACUGUUUUGUAUGUAUUAUAUGAAUAAGGAUCGGCUAACUCCGUGCCAGCAGCCGCGGUAAUACGGAGGAUCCGAGCGUUAUCCGGAUUUAUUGGGUUUAAAGGGAGCGUAGGUGGACUGGUAAGUCAGUUGUGAAAGUUUGCGGCUCAACCGUAAAAUUGCAGUUGAUACUGUCAGUCUUGAGUACAGUAGAGGUGGGCGGAAUUCGUGGUGUAGCGGUGAAAUGCUUAGAUAUCACGAAGAACUCCGAUUGCGAAGGCAGCUCACUGGACUGCAACUGACACUGAUGCUCGAAAGUGUGGGUAUCAAACAGGAUUAGAUACCCUGGUAGUCCACACAGUAAACGAUGAAUACUCGCUGUUUGCGAUAUACAGUAAGCGGCCAAGCGAAAGCAUUAAGUAUUCCACCUGGGGAGUACGCCGGCAACGGUGAAACUCAAAGGAAUUGACGGGGGCCCGCACAAGCGGAGGAACAUGUGGUUUAAUUCGAUGAUACGCGAGGAACCUUACCCGGGCUUAAAUUGCAGUGGAAUGAUGUGGAAACAUGUCAGUGAGCAAUCACCGCUGUGAAGGUGCUGCAUGGUUGUCGUCAGCUCGUGCCGUGAGGUGUCGGCUUAAGUGCCAUAACGAGCGCAACCCUUAUCUUUAGUUACUAACAGGUUAUGCUGAGGACUCUAGAGAGACUGCCGUCGUAAGAUGUGAGGAAGGUGGGGAUGACGUCAAAUCAGCACGGCCCUUACGUCCGGGGCUACACACGUGUUACAAUGGGGGGUACAGAAGGCAGCUAGCGGGUGACCGUAUGCUAAUCCCAAAAUCCUCUCUCAGUUCGGAUCGAAGUCUGCAACCCGACUUCGUGAAGCUGGAUUCGCUAGUAAUCGCGCAUCAGCCACGGCGCGGUGAAUACGUUCCCGGGCCUUGUACACACCGCCCGUCAAGCCAUGGGAGCCGGGGGUACCUGAAGUACGUAACCGCAAGGAUCGUCCUAGGGUAAAACUGGUGACUGGGGCU